rnacentral:misc_RNA from 1 species
GAAAUGCGAUAAGUAGUGUGAAUUGCAGAAUUCAGUGAAUCAUCGAAUCUUUGAACGCACAUUGCGCCCUUUGGUAUUCCUUAGGGCAUGCCUGUUCGAGCGUCAUCUAAACCUUCAAGCCCUGCUUGGUGUUGGGUGCCUGUCCCGCCUCCGCGCGCGGACUCACCUCAAAUCCAUUGGCGGCCCCCGCGUCGGCCACGAGCGCAGCAGAAACGCGAACUCGUGAUCCCGUCCGGGCGGCUCCCAGAAGCUACACCCACCCAGUUUGACCUCGGAUCAGGUAGGGAUACCCGCUGAACUUAAGC